AGUGCAGUUUCCUGUUUCACCACGUGACGAAACUGCGGACAAUCUAAUGUGUGUGUCAUGCGUGUGUACAAUUGAAUUUGCUUGAUUGCCUUCAUGGGUACUAAAAUGAUAAUCAUUCAUAAAGAUCUAGCCCAGUAUCUCCCUCUUUGUUUAUUUUGUUUAUUUAUUGACUCACGGAAACAAACUAUCUAAGCGGUAAUUGUAGCUAGCAAACAGAUUGCCAAACAGUUAAUCUCUAUAUAAAAAUAUACUGACCACCAAGCCCUGGGACAACGUUCAGACUGUUCCAGUGACCAGUAUGCAGGACUGAAACAUGAUAUACCAUGAUAACAAUACACAUUAUAUGAACACAAUACACCAUGAUAAGGCAAAUGGACAGAGCAGGCUGAGAAUAGAGCAGGCUUGAUGUCCUUACUGCAGACAAUGUCUGGCUGCUGCUGCUCCUGAGUUCGGCCCUCAGCUGUCUGGAUGAUCUGAUUUUAAAAAAUAAUAAAAUGUUGAGACAAGGAACUGCUCUAAAAAAAGAUGUCUGCAAGGUUGAGACAGUGUUCUAUAAUUCUCAUGAAAAAAGUUUGAUAAGCUCUUUCAGUAUGUAAGAGACACACAUGCACACAAACACACUCACACACACAGAAACACACACACACACUCACACACACAAACAUACACACACAGUGUGAGCACUUUUUUUUUUUAUCAGGAAGAAUCACGGUUUCCUACUAUUGUUAUUACAUCCGUGCGUGUAUGUUUGUUUGUGUGUGUAUUUCUGUGUGUGUGUGUGUGUGUGUGUGUGUGUGUGUGUGUGUGUGUGUGUGUGUGUGUGUGUGUGUGUGUGUGUGUGUGUGUGUGUGAGAGUGAGCGUGAGAGUGAGAGAGAGAGAGAGAGAGAGUGUGUGUGUGUGUGUGUGUGUGUGUGUGUGUGUGUGUGUGUGUGUGUGUGUGUGUGUGUGUGUGUGUGUGUGUGUGUGUGUGUGUGUGUGUGUGUGUGUGUGUGUGUGCGUGUGUUUGUGUGUGUUCUAGUGCUACAACUUUGUACAGCUGACAACAGUUAAAAAUAAUUAAUAUUAUUUUAAGAAAUAAAUGUGCCUCCUGCGUGAGCUGUGCGCUACUGUAUUUUGUCAUAUUUUAUAACAUCGAUCAUAAUGGUGGUACUUCAGGAGACCAAUAUUUCCUUUGGUGGUACGCAGUUUAAAAGUUUGAGAACCACUGUCCUAGAGAAUAUAUCAGAGACUGAAUCAGAGACUGAACUGAUGGUGAAAUCAGCCUGUGGAAGGUUCUAAGAGGUUCUACUGAAGCCUCAGGUUCUGUCCUGCUCUACCUUUGUGUUGGUUCUGUGUUGAGGUUAUGGCUCUCUUUUAAACAACCUUUGUCAAAGGUACUACUGUGCGGCCUUUAGAGUACAGAACGUGUUCCCCUGUGUUCACCUCCUGUCCACUACCUCUCGGUCUCAGCAGAACACGUUCUAUGUUUAGCCUUUCUCCUUCGUCUUUGGGGUGAGACGGUGAGUGUUGAGGUGUCCCUUUGCAAGGCAUCUCACCCUCACUGCCACUGAACGGCUGGCUGCUCCUUUGCAUGGCUGGUGUAUGUAUGUGUGGAUGAAUGUGUUUGAAUUCGUGCAUGAAUGCGUGCAUGAACGCAUGCAUGAAUGUUUGAAAGAAUAUGUGUAUGAAUUUGUGUGUGAAUAUAUGUAUGAAUUUGUGUGUGAAUAUGUGUAUGAAUUUAUGUGUUAAUAUGUGUAUGAAUUUGUGGGUGAAUAACUGUAUGAAUGGGUGAGUGUGAGGCAGUAAUGGGGUUGGAUGCUUCACCCCAGUAGUGGGUGAGGUGUGUCACAGUCUAUGGGCCCUAUUUUAACUUUGUGGGCGGAUCUCUGGCACUGUUGCUAUUAUACCUGGCUGAUAAAUGACUCUUGUGCACGACACAAAUCUAAAAUGGGUUGGUCUGAAGACCUGUAGGUGUGUUUUGGGCGUAACAUGCAAUAAACCAUAGGCAAAGAGAACUUAACACAUAUAUGAUAAGUGGUCCUGUGGCCGCAACUGUGGGUCUAUUCAAGGAUAUGCGGCAAUACAUUAACAAACAUCAUUUGUUACCAGUAUUGUACAUUAUCGUUAUCGACAUGUGUUCAUAAUAUGCAUGUGUCCCCCCUUUAAUAUACAUUGCCAUGGACUGUUUUAUGCGAUACAGUCCACGUAUUAUGGAACGUGUUUAGAUUGCGUGUGUUUAAACAGCUAGAUGCACAGUGCACACACCCGCAUUCAUUCAUUAUUUUAAACACUCACUCACGGUAAAACUGUGUUUCCUCACGAUCAAAUACUCAUCAAUCCUAAAAGUGAUGGGCUUGUACACGACGUCUGUGCAAAGAAAAUAUGUGUUAGCUGUAAGGUGUUUGCAGAUGCAUUGAUUUAAAAGUACAACUUAUUACAGCUGUAUCAGCUGUUCUAUCCCAAAUAAUUUAACCAACGUCAUCAUUUACAUUUACAUUUAGCAUUUAGCAGACGCUUUUAUCCAAAGCGACUUACAAUAAGUACAUUUGUCAUAAGAAGUGCAACAAUAUAUCGCUGUCGGUACAGUAAGGAUAAACCUCUUGUCCCGCUACAAGGGCCGAGGACUACAACACACUUUUGGUGGCAAAUUUUUCCACCAAUAAGGAAUGAGAGGGGGCGGGAGCUCGCGUACUGAGGGGGAAUGAGGGGGACGGGAGACCGACAGGUGGGCGGGGCAGCGAGCGCAAUGCACUGUGGUAGUUGGAGGUUUUCUUACUUUGAGCCAGAGAGACCAUGAAAACACUCUUUCUGCCUUUUUUCAGGCUAGGAUGAACCGAUUUCAAUUUUUUUUUCACAUUUAUAAUACAUUGAAUUAUUUAAUUCAUAAAACCUUCAUAUUCCCACCGGUGAAGUAUCUCUUUAAGUACUAUAAUACAAUACAACACAAUACAAUACAAUGUUGCUACACAGUUAAGUACUAUAAUACAAUACAACACAAUACAAUACAAUGUACAAUGGUGGCCAGAAGGGGGAGGGUGGCUAUGCAGAGUCGAGGUGGACUCUGAACAGGUGAGUCUUGAGCCUUAUUCGGAAGAUAGUGAGCGACUCUGCGGUCCUGAGAACGGCAGGGAGCUCGUUCCACCACUGAGGUCACAAACCCGAGAAAAGUUGUGACUUUGCUGAUCGACCUUUGCUAGCUCUUAGCGAUGGCGGUACCAAACGUCCAGCUGAGGUAGUUGAGCGGAGGGAUCGAGCUGGGGUGUGUGGCUUUACCAAUGCUUGGAGGUAAGCAGGGGCAGUUCCAUCGACUGCCUUUUAUGGGGGCCUGGCCGUAAUUCCGACGCCUCAUUGUUCCGACGUCUCAAUGGUCCGAAAUAUUUCCCAUUAGAUCGACAUGCCACUAUGCCGACGGUUCAAUGUUCCGAAAACUGAACCCAUUGGUCCGAAGGUCCGUUUUUCCGACUUUUAAAAAAGGAGGCGCAUUAGGCCGACGGUUCAAUAUGCCGAAUAGGCCUACAUAUAAUUAAGCAAUAGAUCACGCCAGGCUGUGGUAUGUGCUCAUUAUACCACUGUUAAGGGCCGUUGUCCGGCCCCGACGCGCAGCAGAGGGCCGGCGACCCCCUUCACAACGGUUACUAUUAUGGCAAAACAAAAGUCAUAGACACACUACAUUUAAAAAGAAACCAAGAAAGUCAAAGUAGCCGUUUUAUUAAACAAUACAAAAAAGUAGUCCCUCCUGGCUGCCUUCCAAAUGCACGACGGUCGCUAUGCAACACACUUUAGCGUCCCUCCGAGAGAAGGCUCCGCUAGAGCGGUUCGCCGGCAAUUUAUCCUAUGGAGCAGUUCACUCGCCGUGUGCCUCAGCUUUCGUUAGUCUCUCCAUCGCCUUGCUAACUCCCGGAGUAACAACAUUUACACGCUCUCCAUCAUCCAACAUAUGUUUUACUUUGUAACUGUUUCUACUUCCAGGCGCGGAGUGAUAUGCAAACUUUCACAAAAUGAUCGGCAUCAGAGCAGUUAUGUAUACGCUCAUUAUACAACAGUUAGGAACCAAUCAGAUCGCUGGAUUUAGGCCCCCCGUUGUAUAAAGAGUUUUAUACCUCGCUCGCACUCGCUCUCUCUCUCGCUCUCUCUCACUCUCUCUCACUCUCUCUCCAAAAUACAACUUAGGCCUACAUAUCACGUUCACGAUGAAUAUUGGAGCAAAGUGACAACGCUUCACUUCAUUUUGACAGGGUGUUUCAGCCCCAUGGACAGAGAGCGUAGGUCUAAUUCUCAACACGGGCACGAACACACACACACACACACGCACACACACGCACACACACACACACACACACACACACACACACACACACACACACACACACACACACACACACACACACACACACACACACACACACACACACACACACACACACAC